GACGAACGCUGGCGGCGUGCUUAACACAUGCCAGUCGAGCGGAGCGGCGAACGGGUGAGUAACGCGUGAGUAACUGCCCCCCUCUCUGGGAUAACAGUUGGAAACGGCUGCUAAUACCGGAUAGUGGGGGAUGACUCGCGUCCUAUCAGCUUGUUGGUGGGGUAGUGGCCUACCAAGGCGACGACGGGUAGCCGGCCUGAGAGGGCGACCGGCCACAUGUGGCUGCGAGACGGCCCAAACGCCUACGGGAGGCAGUAGUGGGGAAUAUUGCACAAUGGGGGAAACACUGAGGCAGCAACGCCGGGUGCGGGAUGACGGGCUUCGGGUUGUAAACCGCUUUCAGCCAUGACGCGGUAGUGGCAGAAGAAGGACCGGCUAACUAAGUGCCAGCAGCCGCGGUAAAUA
rnacentral:rRNA from 1 species